GUUGUGCAAACUCUGAUACUAGGUCGAAGCUUCAGUCAAAAUCGGAACAUAAAUCCCACUUAAGGUUAACUGAACACUGUCUGAACACAAAGUCACCAUCAGAACCAAGUCACCAACAGAACCAAGUCACGAACGGUACCUGUAAUGAAUAACCCUUCCCCACUCACGGGUGUAGUCUAGGCCAGGGUAAGGCUGAGAGAAACGCAGCAUAAAUAACCUUUCGCAGAAUACUGUCAUAUACACACCCGGAGUAU
rnacentral:lncRNA from 1 species